GCCUCCAUAGCUUAGCGGUUCGAGCGUGCGACUGUUAAUCGCAAGGUCCCCAGUUCAAAUCUGGGUGGAGGCG
rnacentral:tRNA from 1 species